AGCUUUAUAGUCAAUAAUGAUAUUAGACUGCAAUUCUAAAGGAGUAAAAAUUUACUAAGGCUU
rnacentral:tRNA from 1 species